GAUGAACGCUGGCGGCGUGCUUAAUACAUGCAAGUCGAGGGGCAGCACGGGUAGCAAUACCUGGUGGCGACCGGCGCACGGGUGCGUAACGCGUAUGCAACCUACCUUUAACUGGGGCAUAGCCCCGAGAAAUCGGGAUUAAUUCCCCAUAUCAUUCCGGUGAGGCAUCUCACUGGGAUGAAAGCUCCGACGGUUAAAGAUGGGCAUGCGUGACAUUAGCUUGUUGGUGAGGUAACGGCUCACCAAGGCUACGAUGUCUAGGGGUUCUGAGAGGAUGAUCCCCCACACUGGUACUGAGACACGGACCAGACUCCUACGGGAGGCAG
rnacentral:rRNA from 1 species